GAAAGGUCUAACUUCCCUUCAAAACUCAGAGGCAAGCCUGCAACCGUAGGAUUCGACAUCGUUUUAUUGCCUUAAUUGUAUUACUAAAAUUUUGUUCUGCGUUGAAGAUUAUUUUGGGAUGCGCCUUCUUCCAUCUGUCCCAAAUUCAAAUUCUUGAAUCGUUAAUGGAAUCGCGAGGGCAGGGCAGAUUCGAUGAGUUUACAUCCACUGAACCCUCAAUUGAAGAUCAGAAAGAGGAGGAAUUGUACAAUGCGAGAUCCUCAAUGGAGGAAUUGAGUGCCAAUUUGGAUAAACAGAAUGAGAGAAAGACGAAUCUUUUGACUGAUUUGCAACAUUUACGCCAACGAAUCGAGGAGAAAGAAGUUGCAAAUGGCGGAGUGCAGAAAUUGCUUCCUCUUUUGUACUCACUGAAGGCUCUGGAAAGGCAAGAAUCUGUUUUGCUAUCUAUUUACGAUGACAAGCGCUUUCAGUUGCAAGCUGAGGUUAAUGAAUUGGAGGAUAAGAUAGCGGCUGCUUGGGAUAUCGAGACUCUUUCUGAGGAUCUCGAUCGUGUAUUGUCAGAUUCACUGGAGAAACUUAACUCUGCAAAGAAGGAACAAGCAGCACAACUAAGAGCAAUACUGUCAGUGAAGCGGCAGAUUGAUGACAUUCCAACCGAGUCAGAACUCGUUCAGUAUGCUGCUUCAUUUCUUCGCAUUACAUUUUCACUUUGCUUUUUGGGUUUGAUUGCAACUUAACUCGUUAUCAAUCUACUAUACUGAGAUGUUUUGAAUUCUUCAAAUAAUGCACUUGUCAAAAUAUCAGAGAAUGUUUUUUUAUUUUUUAUUUUCACAUGAGAAUUUUCAUCUUCUACAUGUUAAUUGUCAAGAAUCAAGUCUGUCUAAUUGAAUUCUCAUGGUAAAGAGUAAGUACUUUGGUUUUACUUUGGAAUUUUCCUGAACUAGGAGUUUAUGUUAUUUUUGAAUUUAUGCCACUUGACUGGUCAAAAUUAUGUCAUAUUAUCGCGGAGCUAUUUAUGUCUGACCACUUUUUUGCAUAUAAGCAGUGAAAUACAGCCCUAACAACCUCCCUCCCCUUUCUACUUUCAAGAUUCAUGAAUAUCCAUGUCUAGAUUAAAUUCCUGGAAACACUGUCCUUUCACAUUGUCUUCAAGCAUAUUGUUUAUGAUCUCCCUUUUGUCUUAGUAAUGCAGUGAAGUCACUAAGUUCUACCGGCCACUUUGUCUCGUAACUUCUCAUUUUCACCUCAAUUCAUGCCACUUUAGGUUAUCACAAUUUUUUCAUAUCUUAUUGACUUCGGAUCUUCUCAUCCAGGUGCUUAGCUUUGUUUUAGAAGUGGCAUCUUUUAAAUGAUUCAUCAUGAUCAUACUUUAUAGAAUUAGCUCCAUUUCAAUCUCUUAUUCGUAAAAAAUAAUUGACCAAGAAUAACAUAAUCAUGGCGCUACAUUUCUGUAUUUGCAUACUUGCUAUCUAAUUUAACUGAAGCGUGACACUGAGCUUAAGCUUUAUUUUCAGUUAUGAAUGCCGGUUUUUUUAUUUGAAUGCUUAUGUCCAGGUUUUAUAUGCCAUGUGUGUUUUAUUGGCCUCAUUUUGGUAGUUUUUGCUGAAUCUAUCUUUGUUUAUCUCCUCUAAUGACAAGACCUUGCAUUCUCAUUUUAAUGUAAAGGUAAGGCAUCAUCAAACCUGCAAAUAUUAUGCAACCUAUAAUGCUCUUUUGGAGAUUAAAGAACUGAUGCUAAAGGAAACUUCCUUGUUGAAUUCGAUAAGUUCACAGUUUCAGGAUGCCAUUACAAGUACUGAUGGUCGCAUGAAGCUUAUUGGUUCCAUGGAAGGGAUUGUAAAGGGCAAUCAGCAGAUAAUUGUGAUCUUCUCUCAUAACCUGAGAGAAAUAUUAUCGUAUACAUUGUCAUAUGAAAGAUUCCCAAGGUAUUGCAUUCAUAUUGCUAUUGCUUGCAGUUCUCGUUAAUAUACUAUUUAUGGUUUUUCAGGAACAAGUAUUUAAUUGUUUGAGGAGGGUAACUGCUGCUAAUGCAUCUUGCAGACGCUGCAAAAGGUGCAAGUGGGGCUUCAGGAAGAGCAGAAGGCUUGUGAUGCUCUUAAGAAGAGGUAUGCUGCAGCAUUGGCAGAGCAAAGGCUCUGCUAUUCUCUGUUAAAGCCUUCUAGGUAAUCCUUGUUUUGAUUAUUCCAUACAGGAUUUAGUAGGAUUACUCCCAACAGAAAAUAGUGUAGUACUUAGUCAAAUAUUUCAAAAUAAAGUGCGCCUAUGCCACUGAAAACCACUGCUACAUGUCCUGAGGGGUUGUUCUAGUUUAGCUGAUGUUUACACCAUGUGAUGUAAACAAAACAAAGGAAUUUCAUUGUGGUGAUUCGUCACUGGUGUUUACAUCAUAUGCAGUGUUGUUCAACAUUGGGUUCAAUUCAACCUUGUUUAUGCAUGAAUAUUAUUGGAGAAGUUAAUUAUCAGUGAUGAAUCAUGUUGGUAGUGCAGAAAUGCUUUGUGUAUUUCAUUAGAGAACAUCAGAAAUCAUGUAUAUAUAUGUAGCAAGGAGUAGAAAUUGUUUUGUAUUCAAUUUCAUAUUUUAACAAAAUUGCUUGGCAAUCAAGAAUUGGCCCCAUUUCCUUGUGGCGAGGGC
rnacentral:misc_RNA from 1 species